UACAGAGGUCCCAAGCGUUGUUCGGAUUCACUGGGCGUAAAGGGUGCGCAGGUGGGUUUGCAAGUUCGAUGUGAAAGCCCCGGGCUUAACCUGGGAAUGGCAUUUGGGACUGCAAGGCUUGAGUGCGGCAGAGGAGACUGGAAUUCCUGGUGUAGCAGUGAAAUGCGUAGAUAUCAGGAGGAAUACCGAUGGCGAAGGCAGGUCUCUGGGCUGACACUGACGCUCAUGCACGAAAGCGUGGGGAGCAAACAGG
rnacentral:rRNA from 1 species